rnacentral:pre_miRNA from 1 species
UAAGUACUCCCUCCGUUCCGAAUUACUUGUCGCACGUAUGGAUGUAUCUAGAUGUAUUUUAGUUCUAGAUACAUCCAUUUCAGCGACGAGUAAUUUGGAACGGAGGAAGUACCAG